GAUGAACGCUAGCGGCAGGCUUAACACAUGCAAGUCGAGGGGCAUCGGGAGGGAAGCUUGCUUUCCUUGCCGGCGACCGGCGCACGGGUGAGUAACACGUAUGCAACCUGCCCUCUUCAGGGGGACAACCUUCCGAAAGGGAGGCUAAUCCCGCGUAUAUCGGUUUCGGGCAUCCGUUAUCGAGGAAAGAUUCAUCGGAAGAGGAUGGGCAUGCGGCGCAUUAGCUGGACGGCGGGGUAACGGCCCACCGUGGCGACGAUGCGUAGGGGUUCUGAGAGGAAGGUCCCCCACACUGGUACUGAGACACGGUCCAA
rnacentral:rRNA from 1 species